rnacentral:rRNA from 1 species
AUUGAACGCUGGCGGCAGGCCUAACACAUGCAAGUCGAGCGAGUGGCGGACGGGUGAGUAAUGUAUGGGAAACUGCCCGAUGGAGGGGGAUAACUAAUGGAAACGGUAGCUAAUACCGCAUACAAACGGAUGUGCCCAGAUGGGAUUAGCUAUUAGGUGGGGUAACGGCUCACCUAGGCGAAGAUCCCUAGCUGGUCUGAGAGGGUGACCAGCCACACUGGAACUGAGACACGGUCCAGACUCCUACGGGAGGCAGCAGUGGGGAAUAUUGCACAAGGGGCGCAAGCCUGAUGCAGCCAUGCCGCGUGUAUGAAGAAGGCCUUCGGGUUGUAAAGUACUUUCAGCGAGGAGGCGUUACUCGCAGAAGAAGCACCGGCUAACUCCGUGCCAGCAGCCGCGGUAAUUC